UUGGGAUAGCUCAGUUGUAGAAGCAGAAGACUAG
rnacentral:tRNA from 1 species